rnacentral:rRNA from 1 species
GACAGAGGUGGCCAGCGUUGUUCGGAUUCAUUGGGUGUAAAGGGUGCGUAGGCGGUUUGGAAAGUCAGAUGUGAAAUCCUGCAGCUUAACUGCAGAACUGCAUUUGAAACUCCCAGGCUAGAGUAUGGAAGAGGUAAAGGGAAUUCCCGGUGUAAGGGUGAAAUCUGCAGAUAUCGGGAAGAACACCAGUAGCGAAGGCGCUUUACUGGUCCAUUACUGACGCUGAGUGCACGAAGGUGUGGGGAGCAAGCGGG